rnacentral:tRNA from 1 species
GGAGGGGUGCCCGAGUGGUUAAAGGGAGCGGACUGUAAAUCCGUUGGCUGACGCCUACGGGGGUUCAAAUCCUCCCCCCUCCACCA